AUGCUUGUUUCGACAGCACAUGUCCUAAAAUUGGAAUGAUUAGGAUUAGCAUAGGCUCUGUGCAAGGAUGACACUGCAAAUUCAUGAAGCAUUUCAUAUUUUU